CCUACGGGAGGCAGCAGUGGGGGAUAUUGCACAAUGGGGGGAACCCUGAUGCAGCGACGCCGCGUUGGUGAAGGAGCGUUUCGGCGCGUAAAGCCCUAUCGGCAGGGAAGAAGGAGGACGGUACCUGACUAAGAAGCCCCGGCUAACUACGUGCCAGCAGCCGCGGUAAUACGUAGGGGGCAAGCGUUAUCCGGAUUUACUGGGUGUAAAGGGGGCGCAGACGGCAGCGCAAGCCAGGGGUGAAAGCCCGGGGCCCAACCCCGGGACUGCUCUUGAAACUGCGCGGCUGGAGUGCAGGAGGGGCAGGCGGAAUUCCUGGUGUAGCGGUGAAAUGCGUAGAUAUCAGGAGGAACACCGGUGGCGAAGGCGGCCUGCUGGACUGCGACUGACGUUGAGGCCCGAAAGCGUGGGGAGCGAACAGGAUUAGAUACCCGAGUAGUC
rnacentral:rRNA from 1 species